AUUGAACGCUGGCGGCAUGCCUUACACAUGCAAGUCGAACGGUAACAGGCCGCAAGGUGCUGACGAGUGGCGAACGGGUGAGUAAUGCAUCGGAACGUGCCCAGUCGUGGGGGAUAACUGCUCGAAAGAGCAGCUAAUACCGCAUACGACCUGAGGGUGAAAGCGGGGGACCGUAAGGCCUCGCGCGAUUGGAGCGGACGAUGUCAGAUUAGCUAGUUGGUGGGGUAAAGGCCUACCAAGGAAGCGAUCGGUAGAGAGUCUGAGAGGACGACCAGCCCCACUGGGACUGAGACACGGCCCAGACUCCUACGGGAGGCAGCAGUGGGGAAUUUUGGACAAUGGGCGCAAGCCUGAUCCAGCAAUGCCGCGUGCAGGAAGAAGGCCUUCGGGUUGUAAACUGCUUUUGUCAGGGAAGAAAUCUUCUGGGCUAAUACCCCGGGAGGAUGACGGUACCUGAAGAAUAAGCACCGGCUAACUACGUGCCAGCCGCCGCCGUAAGAC
rnacentral:rRNA from 1 species